rnacentral:rRNA from 1 species
CGUUUGACCUCGGAUCAGGUAGGGAUACCCGCUGAACUUAAGCAUAUCAAUAAGCGGAGGAAAAGAAACCAACAGGGAUUGCCCUAGUAACGGCGAGUGAAGCGGCAACAGCUCAAAUUUGAAAUCUGGCUCUUUUAGAGUCCGAGUUGUAAUUUGCAGAGGGCGCUUUGGCUUUGGCAGCGGUCCAAGUUCCUUGGAACAGGACGUCACAGAGGGUGAGAAUCCCGUACGUGGUCGCUAGCUAUUGCCGUGUAAAGCCCCUUCGACGAGUCGAGUUGUUUGGGAAUGCAGCUCUAAAUGGGAGGUAAAUUUCUUCUAAAGCUAAAUAUUGGCCAGAGACCGAUAGCGCACAAGUAGAGUGAUCGAAAGAUGAAAAGCACUUUGGAAAGAGAGUCAAACAGCACGUGAAAUUGUUGAAAGGGAAGCGCUUGCAGCCAGACUUGCUUGCAGUUGCUCAUCCGGGCUUUUGCCCGGUGCACUCUUCUGCAGGCAGGCCAGCAUCAGUUUGAGCGGUGGGAUAAAGGUCUCUGACACGUUCCUUCCUUCGGGUUGGCCAUAUAGGGGAGACGUCAUACCACCAGCCUGGACUGAGGUCCGCGCAUCUGCUAGGAUGCUGGCGUAAUGGCUGUAAGCGGCCCGUCUUGAAACACGGACCAAGGAGUCUAACAUCUAUGCGAGUGUUUGGGUGUCAAGCCCGAGCGCGUAAUGAAAGUGAACGGAGGUGGGAACCCGCAAGGGUGCACCAUCGACCGAUCCUGAAGUUUACGGAAGGAUUUGAGUAAGAGCAUGGCUGUUGGGACCCGAAAGAUGGUGAACUAUGCUUGAAUAGGGUGAAGCCAGAGGAAACUCUGGUGGAGGCUCGCAGCGGUUCUGACGUGCAAAUCGAUCGUCAAAUUUGGGCAUAGGGGCGAAAGACUAAUCGAACUAUCUAGUAGCUGGUUCCUGCCGAAGUUUCCCCUCAGGAUAGCAGUAACGUAUUCAGUUUU